UACGUAGGGUGCAAGCGUUGUCCGGAAUUAUUGGGCGUAAAGAGCUCGUAGGCGGUCUGUCGCGUCGGCUGUGAAAUCCCGAGGCUCAACCUCGGGUCUGCAGUCGAUACGGGCAAACUAGAGUAUUGCAGGGGAGAUCGGAAUUCCUGGUGUAGCGGUGAAAUGCGCAGAUAUCAGGAGGAACACCGGUGGCGAAGGCGGAUCUCUGGGCCGUAACUGACGCUGAGGAGCGAAAGCAUGGGUAGCGAACAGG
rnacentral:rRNA from 1 species